rnacentral:rRNA from 1 species
CUAGUUGGUGAGGUAACGGCCCACCAAGGCGACGAUCGGUAGCCGGACUGAGAGGUUGAACGGCCACAUUGGGACUGAGACACGGCCCAGACUCCUACGGGAGGCAGCAGUGGGGAAUAUUGCACAAUGGGGGAAACCCUGAUGCAGCGACGCCGCGUGGAGGAAGAAGGUCUUCGGAUUGUAAACUCCUGUUGUUGAGGAAGAUAAUGACGGUACUCAACAAGGAAGUGACGGCUAACUACGUGCCAGCAGCCGCGGUAAAACGUAGGUCACAAGCGUUGUCCGGAAUUACUGGGUGUAAAGGGAGCGCAGGCGGGCGAUCAAGUUGGAAGUGAAAUCCAUGGGCUCAACCCAUGAACUGCUUUCAAAACUGGUCGUCUUGAGUAGUGCAGAGGUAGGCGGAAUUCCCGGUGUAGCGGUGGAAUGCGUAGAUAUCGGGAGGAACACCAGUGGCGAAGGCGGCCUACUGGGCACCAACUGACGCUGAGGCUCGAAAGUGUGGGUAGCAAACAGGAUUAGAUACCCUGGUAGUCCACACCGUAAACGAUGAUUACUAGGUGUUGGGAGAUUGACCCUCUCAGUGCCGCAGUUAACACAAUAAGUAAUCCACCUGGGGAGUACGACCGCAAGGUUGAAACUCAAAGGAAUUGACGGGGGCCCGCACAAGCAGUGGAGUAUGUGGUUUAAUUCGACGCAACGCGAAGAACCUUACCAAGUCUUGACAUCCCUUGACGAUGCUGGAAACAGUAUUUCUCUUCGGAGCAAGGAGACAGGUGGUGCAUGGUUGUCGUCAGCUCGUGUCGUGAGAUGUUGGGUUAAGUCCCGCAACGAGCGCAACCCUUAUGGUCAGUUACUACGCAAGAGGACUCUGGCCAGACUGCCGUUGACAAAACGGAGGAAGGUGGGGAUGACGUCAAAUCAUCAUGCCCUUUAUGACUUGGGCUACACACGUACUACAAUGGCGUUAAACAAAGAGAAGCAAGACCGCGAGGUGGAGCAAAACUCAGAAACAACGUCCCAGUUCGGACUGCAGGCUGCAACUCGCCUGCACGAAGUCGGAAUUGCUAGUAAUCGUGGAUCAGCAUGCCACGGUGAAUACGUUCCCGGGCCUUGUACACACCGCCCGUCACACCAUGAGAGCCGGGGGGACCCGAAGUCGGUAGUCUAACCGCAAGGAGGACGCCGCCGAAGGUAAAACUGGUGAUUGGGGUGAAGUCGUAACAAGGUAGCCGUAGGAGUACCUGCGGCUG